rnacentral:rRNA from 1 species
CAGUCGCCGCGGGAAUACAGAGGGUGCGAGCGUUAAUCGGAUUUACUGGGCGUAAAGCGUGCGUAGGCGGCUUCUUAAGUCGGAUGUGAAAUCCCUGAGCUUAACUUAGGAAUUGCAUUCGAUACUGGGAAGCUAGAGUAUGGGAGAGGAUGGUAGAAUUCCAGGUGUAGCGGUGAAAUGCGUAGAGAUCUGGAGGAAUACCGAUGGCGAAGGCAGCCAUCUGGCCUAAUACUGACGCUGAGGUACGAAAGCAUGGGGAGCAAACAGUAUUAGAUACCCCAGUAGUCCCUGUCUCUUAUAC